GACGAACGCUGGCGGCGUGCUUAACACAUGCAAGUCGAACGCUGAAGCUUGGUGCUUGCACUGGGUGGAUGAGUGGCGAACGGGUGAGUAAUACGUGAGUAACCUGCCCUUGACUCUGGGAUAAGCCUGGGAAACUGGGUCUAAUACUGGAUACGACAUGCCACUGCAUGGUGGUGUGUGGAAAGGGUUUUACUGGUUUUGGAUGGGCUAACGGCCUAUCAGCUUGUUGGUGGGGUAAUGGCCUACCAAGGCGACGACGGGUAGCCGGCCUGAGAGGGUGACCGGCCACACUGGGACUGAGACACGGCCCAGACUCCUACGGGAGGCAGCAGUGGGGAAUAUUGCACAAUGGGCGGAAGCCUGAUGCAGCGACGCCGCGUGAGGGAUGACGGCCUUCGGGUUGUAAACCUCUUUCAGCACGGAAGAAGCGAGAGUGACGGUACGUGCAGAAGAAGCGCCGGCUAACUACGUG
rnacentral:rRNA from 1 species